UGAUGGUGCAGUGUUUCACUUGAUUACCGUGCAGGCAACAUCAAUCAGUCCCUAUUCCGUGGCGGUGUGAAUAGUCUUCAAUGAAUCAAACGUAUGGUUUGGGACAAAGGUGCAGUACCUGGAGAAAACCCACACAAGCAUGCGACGAGGCCGCCCCCGUGUGAAAGGCCAGGCUGGAUUAAGGUAUCACGGUGAUUGGCCGCUAUCCGGUGGACAGGCUGGCUGGCAGGGCAAACUUCCUAAAUCCCUGUCUUGGAAUGGAGCGGCUCUCAAGAUGCUGCUAAGCUCUCAUCAGUCAUCGUCUACCACCACCAGCCUGCACCAACCCAUCCCCAGUACCUUGGAGAUCAAGCAUGGUGGCAGUGUAAAGUUGGAUAUACCGGUAAUUGCCUUAACCUAUAACUAUCUUUUCCUCUCUGAUUUGGAGUGAAGCGAAUUAAUUGAGGUGAUACAUAAGAUAUUCUGAAGUAACCAGUUAUGGAGAUUUUGGCCAUUAAAUUUUCUGGGUUUUUGUUCUUACUUGUUCAUAUCGUAGGCAGGCAAUC